CUGGCUCAGGAUGAACGCUAGCGGCAGGCUUAACACAUGCAAGGUCGAGGGGCAGCGGGAUGUAGCAAUACAUUGCCGGCGACCGGCGGAUGGGUGCGUAACGCGUAUGCAACCUACCUUAUACAGGGGAAUAACCUUUCGAAAGGGAGACUAACACCCCAUGGUAUUGAUUUAAGGCAUCUUAGAUUAAUUAAAUAUUUAUAGGUAUAAGAUGGGCAUGCGUAUGAUUAGCUAGUUGGUAAGGUAGCGGCUUACCAAGGCGACGAUCAUUAGGGGUUCUGAGAGGAAGGUCCCCCACACUGGUACUGAGACACGGACCAGACUCCUACGGGAGGCAGCAGUGAGGAAUAUUGGUCAAUGGGCGCAAGCCUGAACCAGCCAUGCCGCGUGCAGGAAAGACGGCCUUAUGGGUUGUAAACUGCUUUUACAUAAGACUAACCGUAUAUUUGCGAAUAUACCUGAAUGUAUUAUGAGAAUAAGGAUCGGCUAACUCCGUGCCAGCAGCCGC
rnacentral:rRNA from 1 species